rnacentral:lncRNA from 1 species
GACAGCUUCAUCAAGCACGUAGGACUUUUUCUCUUGCUUGAGAACAAUUCUCAAGUUUCUAAACCAAUCAAUAAAAUUAGUCCCAUUUUCUUUCAGUUUAUCCUUCUCAAGGAUAGAUCGCAAUGAUAAGGUGGAAUUGUUAUUAGCAGCCAUAAUUAUCUACAAAAAUAUGCAAAUAUAAUUAAUUUAGUAAACAAAUUAAUAUUGAGGUGAUAAUAAUCUCCCACUAAAAUAUAACCCUCAAAAUAAUAAUAAUAUUUUAGUGGGCUAAGAUCCAUAUUUCACCUAGUUCUAAGUCAGCUUUGGCAUGACACUUAGAAUUAAG